rnacentral:rRNA from 1 species
CCUACGGGGGGCUGCAGUGGGGAAUUUUGGACAAUGGGCGCAAGCCUGAUCCAGCCAUUCCGCGUGAGUGAAGAAGGCCUUCGGGUUGUAAAGCUCUUUCGGCCGGGAAGAAAUCGCACGGGUUAAUACCCUGUGUGGAUGACGGUACUGGAAGAAGAAGCACCGGCUAACUACGUGCCAGCAGCCGCGGUAAUACGUAGGGGGCGAGCGUGAAUCGGAAUGAGUGGGCGUGAAUUUGUAAGACGGGGGUGAAAUCCCCGGGCUUAACCUGGGAACUGCGGUUGUGACUGCAAGACUUGAGUGCGGCAGAGGGGGGUGGAAUUCCACGUGUAGCAGUGAAAUGCGUAGAGAUGUGGAGGAACACCGAUGGCGAAGGCAGCCCCCUGGGUCGACACUGACGCUCAUGCACGAAAGCGUGGGGAGCAAACAGGAUUAGAUACCCCAGUAGUC